CCUGGAUUGGGUCUCCUGACAUCAUGAGGUUCCGGUUCUGUGGCGAUCUGGACUGUCCCGAUUGGGUCCUAGCAGAGAUCAGCACACUGGCCAAAAUUUCCUCUGUGAAGCUGCGGCUACUGUGUAGCCAGGUGCUAAAGGAGCUUCUGGGACAGGGGAUUGACGUGAGUACAGGACCCAACAUCGCACUGUCCGAUAACCUUAUGAGGCCCGGAACACUCUGUUCUUCAGCCUCCCCCCU
rnacentral:lncRNA from 1 species